CUAAACUCCCAACCCUAUGUGAACUUACCUUUGUUGCUUCGGCGGCGGAGGCUACCCUAUAGGGGAUACCACAUAGUGGUUACCCUGUAGUCCCAGGUGCUAGAUCGUGCUCAACGUCUUAUCGUCUACGACUAGCUACCCGGUGGCCCUCCCCGCCGGCGGCCAACUAAACUCUGUUUUUAUGGCAUUCUGAAUUAUAAACUUAAUAAGUUAAAACUUUCAACAACGGAUCUCUUGGUUCUGGCAUCGAUGAAGAACGCAGCGAAAUGCGAUAAGUAAUGUGAAUUGCAGAAUUCAGUGAAUCAUCGAAUCUUUGAACGCACAUUGCGCCCAUUAGCAUUCUAGUGGGCAUGCCUGUUCGAGCGUCAUUUCACCACUUAAGCCCUGUUGCUUAGCGUUGGGAGCCUACGGCACUGCCCGUAGCUCCCUAAAGUGAUUGGCGGAGUUGGUUCUCACUCUAGGCGUAGUAAAUCUAUCUCGCCUCUGUAGUGGUUCCGGCCCCUGCCGUAAAACCCCCUAUAUCAAAGGUUGACCUCGGAUCAGGUAGGAAUACCCGCUGAACUUAAGCAUAUCAAAGUC
rnacentral:rRNA from 1 species